CAAUGGAGUUUACUCACCGACUGUUCCGUCAUCACCAUCUCCUUGCCACCCGGAUAGAAGGCCACACGCACCUCGCCCCUGGACAGCGAAUCGACAUCUUCCUCUUCGGAGGAGGAAUAGGUCUCGGUCGUUGCGGUUACCAAGCCAAAAUGGACGCGACCGCGCCGAUCAAUGCGAAAAACCCCAUCCUCUAAGAAGAACUGGGACUCGGUGUUACCCUGGGCUUUCGAUGGCACCUGGCCACCACCCGAUCGACGGGAGUGGGAAUUUGCGUUAUGGCGGCUCUCCUGGUUGGGGGUCCGACCCAGCUCCUGUGAGGAUGGAGGAGGAUUCGCAAGCGUCGGUGUACGCGGAGCAGCCUCCGCCAAAGACUGUUCCUGCUCCUGCUGCGGUUGACCUGGUGUACCACCUGGAGCGGCCGCACCCGCCACAUCGCUCAUCAUGUUACCAAUCGUAAGCUGGGAACAUGGACGGCAAGAACUUUGCCGUGGCGAAUGCUCGGUGAAUAUAUUUCUUCUCCCUUUAUUGGCCACUAAUUAUUACAAAUUCCUAUAAUAUGCCCGACGAGCCACUGACACACAAACACACAUCUAAUUUACGGACACUGGAGCAAACUAUAAAUUUGCUUGGACAAUUUCGCCAACUUCUUUCGAAAAACUAUAAAUAAAACAGGCAAAAUCUAC
ensembl:ncRNA asRNA:CR43903 antisense RNA:CR43903